rnacentral:rRNA from 1 species
ACGCUGGCGGCACGCCUAACACAUGCAAGUCGAACGAAGUAGCAAUACUUAGUGGCAGACGGGUGAGUAACAUGUAGGUAUCUGCCCUUUGGCCUGGAAUAACACGAGGAAACUUGUGCUAAUACCGGAUAAGUCUUUACGGAGAAAGCUUUAUGCACCAUUGGAUGAGCCUGCACUUGAUUAGUUUGUUGGUGGGGUAAUGGCCUACCAAGACUGUGAUCAAUAGCUGAUUUGAGAGGAUGAUCAGCCACAUUGGGACUGAGACACGGCCCAAACUCCUACGGGAGGCAGCAGUGGGGAAUCUUGCACAAUGGAGGAAACUCUGAUGCAGCGAUGCCGCGUGAGUGAAGAAGGCCCUUGGGUUGUAAAGCUCUUUCGUCGGGGAAGAAAAUGACUGUACCCGAAUAAGAAGGUCCGGCUAACUUCGUGCCAGCAGCCGCGGUAAUACGAAGGGACCUAGCGUAGUUCGGAAUUACUGGGCUUAAAGAGUUCGUAGGUGGUUGAAAAAGUUAGUGGUGAAAUCCCAGAGCUUAACUCUGGAACUGCCAUUAAAACUUUUCAGCUAGAGUAUGAUAGAGGAAAGCAGAAUUUCUAGUGUAGAGGUGAAAUUCGUAGAUAUUAGAAAGAAUACCAAUUGCGAAGGCAGCUUUCUGGAUCAUUACUGACACUGAGGAACGAAAGCAUGGGUAGCGAAGAGGAUUAGAUACCCUCGUAGUCCAUGCCGUAAACGAUGUGUGUUAGACGUUGGAAAUUUAUUUUCAGUGUCGCAGCGAAAGCGAUAAACACACCGCCUGGGGAGUACGA